rnacentral:rRNA from 1 species
GACGAACGCUGGCGGCGUGCUUAACACAUGCAAGUCGAACGGAGUGGCGAACGGGUGAGUAAUACGUGGGUGAUCUGCCUUGCACUUCGGGAUAAGCUUUGGAAACUGGGUCUAAUACCGGAUAGUGCAAGAUGAGCUCGCGGCCGAUCAGCUGGUUGGUGGGGUAGUGGUCUACCAAGGCGUCGACGGGUGGCCGGCCGGCGAGGGUGUACGGCCACAUUGGGACUGAGAGACGGCCCAGACGCCUACGGGGGGCAGCAGUGGGGAAUAUUGCACAAUGUGCGGAAGCGUGAUGCAGGGACGCCGCGUGGGGGAUGAAGGACUUCGGGUUGUAAACGCCUUUCGACAGUGACGCGGUACCUGUAUAAGAAGCACCGGCUAACUACGUGCCAGCAGCCGCGGUAAUAC